ACUCCUACGGGAGGCAGCAGUGGGGAAUAUUGCACAAUGGGCGCAAGCCUGAUGCAGCCAUGCCGCGUGUGUGAAGAAGGCCUUCGGGUUGUAAAGCACUUUCAGUAAGGAGGAAAGGUUAGUCACUAAUAUUGGCUAGCUGUGACGUUAGCGACAGAAGAAGCACCGGCUAACUCCGUGCCAGCAGCCGCGGUAAUACGGAGGGUGCGAGCGUUAAUCGGAAUUACUGGGCGUAAAGCGCAUGCAGGUGGUUUGUUAAGUCAGAUGUGAAAGCCCGGGGCUCAACCUCGGAAUUGCAUUUGAAAACUGGCAGACUAGAGUACUGUAGAGGGGGUAGAAUUUCAGGUGUAGCGGUGAAAUGCGUAGAGAUCUGAAGGAAUACCGGUGGCGAAGGCGGCCCCUGACAGAUACUGACACUCAGAUGCGAAAGCGUGGGGAGCAAACAGGAUUAGAUACCCUGGUAGACUGUC
rnacentral:rRNA from 1 species